UCAGUUUCUUCAUCUGUAAAAUGGGAACAAUCAUAGGUGCCAACCUGAGGUUGCUUUAAAAAUCCAUUAAAGUCGAAAAAGCACCCAGCGUUCCAUAAAUAUUAACUCCCAGUCCUCUGACCCAGAGGGUUCCAGACACAGGAGGCAUCAUUGUGCAAGAGAGGGUCCUUAUUACACUUUAACAUUCGUACACAUGAACGUUAUGGCUUUUAGAGGGUAAGUCAUUCCUGGGGGAGCAGUGGGUGGAUUGACUCAGGGAAAAGUUGUUUCUGUUUCUAAAGAGAAGAGCUGAGAUCCCGGAAACAAGAGGAGUUUCAACAACCCAGGUCCUGUGAUUUCACAACCACCUAUAGCGGCUCAUUUUCACCGAGAGAUGAAGCUUGGCUUCAGGCAGGUUCAUUUCCUCUGGCUGGACCUCCAUGCCUUCAUCAGACAGACAGACAGACACACAUGGCUGGGUCCGAGCAGCUGGCUUGGCCGGGGAGCUGGGAGAGUGUCACCCGGCUUCUGGGCACAUUUGAGAGCAGUUUUGUGGCAGGAGCUGAUGAGCUCCAUGAUAAAUGGCUCCCUAAAUGAAUCCUUACUUCAGAAGCUGGCCGAGUGCCGGCUCAGCUUGGAGACCCCAGCAAUGAAGUCGACAGUCCCGGCUCGGGGACAGGAAGAGCGCUCCCAUGUGAUCAGCACUGUAAUAGAGGGACACAGACAAGGUUCCAACCUGACCUGCUCGGUAGGGGGCGCUGGGAAGGUGAUCUAAGGAUGCGAAGGCUUGCAGGACAAAUCCACCGCGUAGAAGGGUCCCACGGCUCCCGAGGAAAAGGAGCAGCCUCUGGGUAGAGGACAGGCUCAAAACAGGGUAAAGAGGGGCAGGGGACAUGGAGGCACCCAGUCCCAUCUGCGGGAACAGGCAGCAUCAUGGCCCAGGAGGAGCUUGGAAGGGCCCAGGUACUGAAUUUUCUAAGUGAAUAAACACAGGCUACACACAAUGGUAACAGUGACGAUGAUGGUGGACACAGUGGGUGCUGUGACUAUACGAUUACGGGCACUGCUGGUUAUGUAGGUAUCGGUGGUGAUGGUGGGAGUUUUGGUGAUGAUGGUGAUGGGGUUAUGGUGAUGGUGGCGGUAAUGAUGAUGAUGAUGGAGGUUGUGGCUAAUAUGACUAUAAAGCUGGGAAGAACAUUCUCGUGUGCGUCUAUAGGUGGGAGUGUGCAUUCGUUUCUAUUGGGCACAGACCCAGGAGUGGAAUUGCCAGGGCACAGGACAGGCACACGUCUAGUGUUAGUAGAUGGUGCCAAACAGCUUUCCAAAAAAAAAAAAAAAAAAAAGGUUGUAUUUACAUGUAAUGUAUGAGUUCCAGAUGCUCCACAUCCCCAUAGAUACUCAAGCAGUGUCCAUUCGGUUUGCUAAUGUAGCUCAGGUGCCUAGAAGCCUGGCAUACCGAGGAGACAAUAAAAAUUGGCUGAAUGAAUGCUCAGUUUAAGGGAGGCGGAUGUUCGCAGUCACCACGAGAGGAUAGAACCAGACCUCUGCUCCUGCUUGUGCACAUCCAGUGAGGGACACAGUCUGAUCCCGGGGGUGCGGGGGAGCCUGGUGCAAAAGUCCCUACCGAACAGCUCCUCAUACCCCAAUGUGCAUACGUCCUCUGUCUUGGCACGUUUCUCAAAAUCCCUUCAGCAGGGCAAUCUGUUCAAACCAACCCCCACUACGAUGUGAGGGAUCCAUAGCCUUUAACUCUCUUCAGGGCAUUUAAAGGAGCAGCGUGUUCACUUACUGGGUUUACAACUGAAAAACACACCCUGAAGCAGACAGCACAGGACUUAGGGUUCCUGGUUCUAGGUUGACUUGGUUUGGCCAUUUACAGCUGCUUUCUCCUUAGACAGCCUCCCCUGCCUACCUCUAUUUUUGUUUGCUUUUUUUUUUUUUUUUUUUUUUUAAAUUUGAAAGACAGGAACGGUAAUUCUUGUCCUAUCCACCUCAAGGAUUCAAAACACAUAACAGAUUAAGGAACUUCAGAGUUGAAAAGAAUCUUAGAGAUCACUUAGGGACUUUUAUUUAUUUUUAAAAAAAUUUUUAGGGCCGAAUCCAUGGCAUAUGGCAGUUCCCAGGCUAGGGG